ACCGGCGCACGGGUGCGUAACGCGUAUGCACCUACCUCAUACUGGAGAAUAGCCCUUGGAAACGAGGAUUAAUGCUCCAUAGUUUCGCAUGUUUAAAGAAUUUCGGUAUGAGAUGGGCAUGCGUCCCAUUAGCUUGUUGGUGAGGUAACGGCUCACCAAGGCAACGAUGGGUAGGGGGCCUGAGAGGGUGACCCCCCACACUGGUACUGAGACACGGACCAGACUCCUACGGGAGGCAGCAGUGAGGAAUAUUGGGCAAUGGAGGCAACUCUGACCCAGCCAUGCCGCGUGAAGGAUGACGGCCUAUGGGUUGUAAACUUCUUUUAUAUGGGAAGAAACUUAUCUACGUGUAGAUAACUGACGGUACCAUACGAAUAAGGAUCGGCUAACUCCGUGCCAGCAGCCGCGGUAAUACGGAGGAUCCAAGCGUUAUCCGGAUUCAUUGGGUUUAAAGGGUCCGUAGGCGGGUCUUUAAGUCAGUGGUGAAAGCCGACAGCUCAACUGUCGAACUGCCAUUGAUACUGGAGACCUUGAGUACAAAUGAAGUAUGCGGAAUGAGUCAUGUAGCGGUGAAAUGCAUAGAUAUGACUCAGAACACCGAUUGCGACGCCAGCUUACUACAUGGUAACUGACGCUGAAUGACGAAGCCGUGAGGACCGAACAAGAUUAGAUAGUU
rnacentral:rRNA from 1 species